UCAACAUUGAAUCGUGACACUAUAAAGAUUAGUUUUGAUGUCAUCAUAAUCGAAGAUUUAUCAUAACCAAGAUCUCUAGUAACUUUCCGAUGACUAUACAUUAGCUUUUUAAGCAAAAAUUGUGUGUGUUUUGAGAAAAAACUGUGCAAGCUUGGAGAUAAUUUUGUUUUAUGAUCAACGUAAGCAUGUGUAAAUUGCAUUCUCAUAAUAUCCAAAGCAACGUCACUGUAUCUAAAAAAAUACUUGUGAUUAUUCAUUAAUAUUGAGUGUAGAUCAUCCAAAUACCGUUUAAACAUUUAGUGUUAAUUAUCUUAGGAGUGAAAGACACAUUUUGAACUCAUUGUCGGAACUCGAAUGCGACAUCUCAAUAUUUUAAGUAUAAUUAUCAUUAUCUCAAACGUAAUGUAAUCCUUGUUAAUCCUUUCUCCAGAGCAAGGAAGUGAAAGAAGGAACCUCCUCUCAGAGCAAGGUGAAAGCUGGCAAGGUGAAAGAAGGAGGAGGCUGCGAGUGCCCUACACCAAAUGGAGAUGUCAUACAGGUCUGCAAGUACAAGCCUUCCCACGUUGCUAAAGU
rnacentral:lncRNA from 1 species